GCGGCGACAUUCGAGGCGGAGACGUGACCAAGAGCACACUGUAUCCCGCGCACAGCGAUUACUACAUUUUACGUGGAAAGGCAAUACUGAAAUAAUGUGCCGCAGGUAUAGAAGAAAGAGAAAUAGAAGUAAAUAAAAUCAGUUUGCAGGUCAAGUUUGCUAUCAAGAUGCAAAAUAUUUUCCGAGAUUCACCACAACAUCCUUCACAUCUGUGACCUGCAAAGAAUGAAUCCAUGCCAAUAAUCAAGUGCUGUUGGUGAUGAUCUGCAAUAUCCUGGCGGGGUCCAUGGCGAAGGAAGUAACUGGAGGCAGGAAUGAACAGUCUUGAGUGACACGGAGGCGAGGCGUCAACCCUUACUAAGGAGUGGUCUGGUGCUCCACGAAUCCUCAGUGUCUUAUCUCUCUCUCACUGCCGUCACACGUGAUGUACGAAGAGCUCUCCUCGUCGUCAUCCCAGUCACGUGAGCAUCAUUCUCUGCAGCGGCGGCACAAACAUGCCGACAUGUCAUUCCCCAGCGUCAUCUUUACGGGGCCUCUUUCAUCUCUUCAUAAACGACGCAGUCUUUCAUCACCUGAAACUUAUAUCGCCACCUCUCCGGAUUUCCUUAGUACUCCGCAAGCGCUAUAUCUGUCCUCUGAAUCUCCCUCUUCCUAAGAAAAAUGUUCACGUCACUGCGUAAAAUCAAGGCAUCAACUAGACGAGAGAGCAACAAAACCAGGGCUGCGGAAACUGAACCUCACUUACAGUACUUUGUCUACAUGCCAGUGUCGGGCCACCACGUCUUCCUUUGCACAAUACCUGUACCGUGCAGCUCCUCACGCACCCUGCAUCCCUUCAGGCAGCGCCAGAGACGCAAGAGGGAAUGAAGAGAGGGUGGAAGGGAAGGAGGGAGGUCAGGCGGGAAAUAUGUGUUAUAGCAUAAUGGAGACUCGCAGCACCCCAGUCUUCGCAGCUUCAGCACAUGUAGGAGCGUGGCAGUAUUAAUUUAAUGCAAUCAACUUACUAGAGAGAAAAAAAAAGUAAAUUAUGUUUACCCGAAGAUAACAGUGAAGGGAAGAAAAUUUAAUUAAGCAUUUUGUGCCCUCCUUCCCUUCCUCUUUUUUUUUUUUUUAAUGUCUCUUUUCUUUUGUCUUUGCAAUUGUUGUUAUUGUUGUUGCUAUUGGUGUUGGUGGUAGUGGUAGUGGUGGUGGUGGUAAUGUUUCGUUAUUCUUCCUUUUGUGUGUUGUUGUUGC